CACACAGCAACAAUGCAGGCGCUGCUCUCUUUAACACACACAUACACCCUUACACACAUACAUACACACACACCAGGGCGCAGGUUGGACCAUCCGUACCAGAGAUCACAAACCCCCCGAAUGGAGGUGCAACCUAGAAAUAAAGGGGGCGUUGGAGGCUGAAACUGCCCCAAACGUUGGAGCAGAGGAGAGAGAGACAGAGAGACAGAGAAAGAGAGAGAUAGGCUGAAACACGCGCCACCUAUCUUCACGGGGAGGGAUAAUUGAGGAGGACCAAACGUGAGCAUCUUCAGGGAACCGUGAGAACUUUUUCCCUGCUUUCUUUUCUCUUUCCCCCCUCCUCCCGUUUCUCCCUCUCUCGCUGUCUUUUACGAGGCGAAAGGAUACGAAAUGGCGACCGAAACGCUAAGUAAACAGCUAAGCUAAUGUGAGGAGAGAGAAAGUUGGGACUGCCUCAGCCUCUUCGCAAAACGAACGACUUAAAAACGCACAAAAACAUGACGGAAUCGCAGCUGGUGACAGUUCAGAGCUUCAAAAUCGGGAUGGAGUGGAAAAAAGAGCAGACUCCGCUCGCCCGCCAAUCAGACCGGAGCGCAGGCGGGAAAAGGUGCCUCAACAUCCUCAACAUCUGGAGCUGUGGAGGCGGCAGCUGCGGGAGGGGGAGCGCCACUUAAGGGGACCAGGACGUAGACCUUCACAUAGGCACUGCAGUCCCGGUGGAGCAGCGGAGUCUUCACUACUGGAGGAUCCUCAGAAAGCAUCUCCCCUUCCUGCAAGUACUGGAUUACAUGCAUAUCAUUAGGCUUUAAUUCACACCAAGGCAAAGUAUUUCUGCUGGAUUUAAAGAGAGGUCAAGUCCCCGGCGAUGCGAAAGUACCAGAUUGGAAGCCUCAAAACCAGCAGCAUUUUUGACUAUUUUGAUGUUCCAGCUUUGUGAAGCAAAGCCACAAGAGUAGAGGCAGAAAACACACCCAAUUAAUUCUGACAUUGACAGGAUUUCUCUCUCUCUCUCUCUCUCUCUCUCUCUCUCUCUUCGCAGCCUCCCGGCCUAGAAAAAGGUAAGCACAGGAAAAAAAAAAAAAACAGGAAAACUUUGACUCAGGGCAGAUGACUUAUCACUUGCCGAAAUUAAUAAUUGACUGCCGUUAAGAUGAAUAAUUAAUCAAGCGCUGGAAUAAUUGUUGUAUCUCUAAUCUCUACACACAUUUGCAUAUGAGUCUUUUUAAAGCACGCCACUAUAUAUAUGUGUGUGUGCGUGUGAGGGGAUUCUCUCAGGAACGCAGAGAUAUAAUUAAUAACGCUAACUUGAGUCUCUCUGCCCAAGUGUGGGGUUAGCAUUCCAGCUAGAGUUAAGACAAAUCAAUAAAGUACAUUUGAUGAAUAUGACUGGACAGUUUUUUGUUUUGAUGGGAUCAUACAGUGCGCUGUAUUCAAACGGCAGCAUCGUUAGUAGAGCUGUUACUGUGCUUGUUAUUAUACAUAUUACAGUUCUGUGAGAUCGUGUAGACACUAUAAAAGCAGGCAGGAUGUAGCCACAGGGGGCGAGAGAGGGCGAGAGAGGUGGAGGUCUAUGUGGACCUACAGAGAGUAAUAAUUAAAUAGGAGGAUAAUAUGGUGGUAAUAAAGCACAACAGUGACUUACAUAACUUGCAGUUUUUUGGAAUAAUAUAAUGUGAUCUUUGUGUUCAUUCAUCAGCAUUUUAUGUAAGUUAAGAAAUAACGGUCACAUGUUCUCUCUCUCUCUCUCUCUCUCUCUCUCUCUCUCCCUCUCUCAUUCUCUCCCUCCCUCUCGGUCUGUUACACACAAGCUUCAGUAAGAACAGAGUGUGUAUGUCCUGCUAGCAUUUGACUAUGAGUAAUUUGUGAUUUUUGACUUCAUAAUGUUUCUGUUUUAACACGGUAACCAUAUGCUCCUCAGUAGACUGUGCUAAAACUCUGCAGUUUGAUAGAACUGCUAUAACUAAACUUAUUUUAUAAAACUGCUAUAACUACAGUCUAUAACUAAGCAGAAAAAUGCAGAAUUAAAGCCAUAUGGUUUAGUAUAGAAACGGGCUUCAGUAAGCAGAGCUGUCAUUACUGUAAUGUGAUUACCUUUUCUUGUAAUGCAUUACAGUUCAAAAUUUUGCAAUGACAUUACAGUUACUGACUCGACAAGAAUUAUGUUACUUGCAUUACUUACUGUCGCUAUCUGAACAAAAUCUCAUACCUCCAAAUUAGCAAAAACAGAAGAAGGGAAAACGCUCUUAACUGUUAACAGAAUUUGAUACAUUUUUUUUUCAAGUUACUGUGGACCAUUUCUAGUGGUCUACUCAAUAUACAGUUGUAAGACAAUGUAUUGGGGAACUAAGGUUUUCGAAUUAAGUAAAAAAUAACAAAAAAAUGGCAAUACAAGGUUUUGUUGCGGCUGCGACGGUAUGUCUCAAAGUGAACAAUAUUAAUUACGUGGAAUGCAUUGAAAGCAUAAAUUUCCUCUAUGUAGAUUUUUUGCGCUUGUUUUUUAAUUUGUAUGUGCUCUUGGUACCUACAAUAGCAGACUGCACUAGUUUGAUUGGGAAUAUAGUGCAAGUGUGAGAAACGCUGUAACUCCACACACAGUCUGUCAAACAUCUAAUCAUGCUAAUGUGAAACUCAUGGAUAAAGAUCCUCUUGCUGAAGAGGAGGAGAAGAGAGAGCCCCUAAACAGGCCAGACACGGCUUUCAUUCAGAAACAGCCCUGUAAGCUAUACAUUAUGUUUAUUAAAGAUUUUAUGUCGAAGCAGGUGGUUUGGAACUGUUUCUGAUGGCUAGUGUUGCGGUAGCUGUCCUUUUUUAUCAAGCAUAACUAUCUUUUAGGGGCCUGGAAAUGCAUUACUGAAUAUUGGGUUUUCCCUUGUACAGAGUAACAUAGAAGUAAAGUAUUGAGCGAUUAGGUUACUUUUAUACGUAGAAAAGUAAUUCCAAUACAGUUUAAGAGAAGUAAUUAGUAAUUUGUAAUGGGUAAUGGGUUUUAAGCAAUAGUAGUAAUGGACUACAUCAAAUAUACCAUUUUUAAAUGUAUUUCAUAAAAGAAAUGAAGAGUAUUGGAUAUAAGUGUAAAUAACCACUGUCAUCUGUCAGCAGCUCUCUCUCUCUCUCUCUCUCUCUCUCUCUCUCUCUCUCUCUCUCCAAUCCCAUCUUCAUUUGGCUGGUUCUUUAACAGGCCGAACUGAAGGGAGUUGAUUCCCCUUUGAUCCUGACGCUUGUUGUAAGAGAGAAGGGCUUGAAGAGAGCGUUUGGCUACAAUUGACUGCUACAAUUAAGGCAUGAUCAGAGGCCCAGAGGGCUGCACUUAACCGCCACAUCUACAUGUCAGCUUGGUGAAUUA